rnacentral:lncRNA from 1 species
UGAGACUGCGUAAUAUAUGCUGAUGUAAGGGUCAAACAGAAAGUCGGAGAUGAAGAAUUCCAAAACACAAGGCAAACCCGGGCCCAAAGGUCUUUGUAGAAGUGGUAGCAGCUGAGAAGGGGACGUUCAUAAUGGCACAUGGAAAUUGGAGGCGUGUGGAGAGAAAACAGACUGUGGGGUCUGAAGACCUGGAACUGUGUACCAGUCCUAUAGUUAACAAGCUCAACCUAUCAGCUGAGGAAUAAGUAGGUUUGGACUAGGCCUGGGCUUCCCAAAGAAACAGCCUGACACUGCUGAUCUGGGAUUUGUGAACAUUCCAUAAUAUUGACUCACGUAAUGACAUGUUAAUCCUUUUCUUCAAUUUAUGUUCAGUACUUUUCUUGCAUUAUAUCAUGGAGAAAGCUUCAAUUUUAUGCUGGUAUGUCCUUAACACCUUUCUAUCCUUGAUCUUAGCCAAAAGGUUGAGAAGCAGUCUUCAACACCUUUCUAAUCCCUCACUGAUUUUCCUUUUUUAACAGAGCAAACCUCAGGCUCAGACCCUUUGGCAGGCAGCAGUAUCUAGCUGGAAUUUAAAAAUCACUCCCCUCACCUCCCGCGGCAUUUGAUGUUAAGGUCACUACUAAUUAUGGCAAGUGAUCCUGCUAUUCCAUUUACAAAAAUAAUACAAUGUUUUCUUUUAAAAUAAAUGAAAUCUAAGUUUUAAAAGUAUGUCUAAUGAAUACAGUCACAUGUCACUUAACAAUGGAUACAUUCUGAGAACUGCAUUGUUAGGUGAUUUUGUUGUUGUGUGAACAUCAUAGACUGUAUUUACAUAAACUUAGAAGGAAUAGCCUACUACACACCUAGGCUAUAUGGAAUGGCC